rnacentral:lncRNA from 1 species
AUUUCCAGUUGUUUGCCUGAUCAUAACCACACCAUAAAGCUGUCACAAAAAUGUACCUUCCUCAGUGAGGGCGCACCAGCCUGCUGCGGCAGAAGGGAAGGAUGAAGACAUUUAAAAAGGAUGAAGACAUACAAUAAAGGCAAAUGCGUAUCUUAAUUACAAACACUGAAGGAACAGAAAGACAUCUAGGAGGACUCUUCUAUCUGAAUCCCUGCACAGUGCAGAAAUUCAAAUGUUUCACUAGCUGCUGUGGUUCCAUGUCUUCAUCUGUACUCACAACGGAAGAAAGUGGUGCAGAAACCUUCUCCUUUGACAUUUCUACCAGGAAGAAACUUCCUUACGCACCUGCCCUUUGCUGCGCUCCCACUCAUGUUCAGUUUUGCUCUGAAGAAUAACUAAGGAACUGCUCCCAGGAGCACUAGCUGUACUGAGGAAAAGCCACUCUACAAGCUAAAGGUAGUUUUCAAAUCAUGU